rnacentral:rRNA from 1 species
UACGUAGGGUGCGAGCGUUAAUCGGAAUUACUGGGCGUAAAGCGUGCGCAGGCGGUUCGUUGUGUCGGCGGUGAAAGCCCCGGGCUCAACCUGGGAAUGGCCGUUGAAACUGGCGAACUGGAGUGUGGCAGAGGGGGGUGGAAUUCCGCGUGUAGCAGUGAAAUGCGUAGAGAUGCGGAGGAACACCGAUGGCGAAGGCAGCCCCCUGGGCUGACACUGACGCUCAGGCACGAAAGCUAGGGGAGCGAACGGG